rnacentral:rRNA from 1 species
UAGGCAUUGUGUGCCAGCAGCCGCGGUCAUACGUAGGGGGCAAGCGUUAUCCGGAUUUACUGGGUGUAAAGGGAGCGUAGACGGCAAGGCAAGUCUGAUGUGAAAACCCAGGGCUUAACCCUGGGACUGCAUUGGAAACUGUCUGGCUCGAGUGCCGGAGAGGUAAGCGGAAUUCCUAGUGUAGCGGUGAAAUGCGUAGAUAUUAGGAAGAACACCAGUGGCGAAGGCGGCUUACUGGACGGUAACUGACGUUGAGGCUCGAAAGCGUGGGGAGCAAACAGG